rnacentral:sRNA from 1 species
GCUAGGUGUGGUGGUGCAUGCCUGUACUCCUGGUGACUCAGGAGGCUGAGGCAGGAGGAUUGCCAGUUUGAGGCCAGCCUCAGCAACUUAGUGAGACCCUGUCUCAA